CCUACGGGAGGCAGCAGUAAGGAAUAUUGGUCAAUGGACGCAAGUCUGAACCAGCCAUGCCGCGUGGAGGAUGAAGGUCCUCUGGAUUGUAAACUUCUUUUAUCUGGGACGAAAAAAGGGUUUUCUAACUCGUCUGACGGUACCAGAUGAAUAAGCACCGGCUAACUCCGUGCCAGCAGCCGCGGUAAUACGGAGGGUGCAAGCGUUAUCCGGAUUCACUGGGUUUAAAGGGUGCGUAGGCGGGCAAUUAAGUCCGUGGUGAAAUACCUGAGCUUAACUUGGGAACUGCCAUGGAUACUAUUUGUCUUGAAUGUCGUGGAGGUUAGCGGAAUAUGUCAUGUAGCGGUGAAAUGCUUAGAUAUGACAUAGAACACCUAUUGCGAAGGCAGCUAACUACGCGAAUAUUGACGCUGAGGCACGAAAGCGUGGGGAUCAAACAGGAUUAGAUACCCUGGUAGUCCACGCCCUAAACGAUGAUUACUCGACAUUGGCGAUACACAGUCAGUGUCUGAGCGAAAGCAUUAAGUAAUCCACCUGGAAGUACGACCGCAAGGUUGAAACUCAAAGGAAUUGACGG
rnacentral:rRNA from 1 species